rnacentral:rRNA from 1 species
CCUACGGGAGGCAGCAGUGGGGAAUCUUGUGCAAUGGACGAAAGUCUGACACAGCCACGCCGCGUGCGGGAAGAAGGCCUUCGGGUUGUAAACCGCUUUCAGCAGGAACGAAAAUGACGGUACCUGCAGAAGAAGAUGCGGCCAACUACGUGCCAGCAGCCGCGGUGAUACGUAGGCAUCAAGCGUUGUCCGGAUUUAUUGGGCGUAAAGAGCUCGUAGGCGGUUCAGCAAGUCGGGUGUGAAAACUCUGGGCUUAACCCAGAGCCUGCACUCGAAACUGCUGUGACUAGAGUUCGGUAGGGGAGCAGGGAAUUCCUAGUGUAGCGGUGAAACGCGCAGAUAUUAGGAGGAACACCAAUGGCGAAGGCACUGCUCUGGGCCGAUACUGACGCUGAGGAGCGAGAGCGUGGGUAGCAAACAGGAUUAGAUACCCUGGUAGUCCACGCCGUAAACGAUGGGCACUAGGUGUGGGUCUCUAACCAACGAGAUCUGCGCCGUCGCUAACGCAUUAAGUGCCCCGCCUGGGGGAGGUACGGUCGCGAGAACGAAACGUACGAAGAAGUAGACGGCGUGAGACGUGCCGACGGACGACGACGAGGGAGGAGG